UACGUAGGGCGCAAGCGUUAUCCGGAAUUAUUGGGCGUAAAGAGCUCGUAGGCGGCUUGUCGCGUCGACUGUGAAAUCCCGAGGCUCAACUUCGGGCUUGCAGUCGAUACGGGCAGGCUAGAGUUCGGUAGGGGAGACUGGAAUUCCUGGUGUAGCGGUGAAAUGCGCAGAUAUCAGGAGGAACACCGAUGGCGAAGGCAGGUCUCUGGGCCGAUACUGACGCUGAGGAGCGAAAGCGUGGGGAGCGAACAGG
rnacentral:rRNA from 1 species